CUAGCUGGUCUGAUAGGAUGAUCAGCCACACUGGAACUGAGACACGGUCCAGACUCCUACGGGAGGCAGCAGUGGGGAAUAUUGCACAAUGGGGGGAACCCUGAUGCAGCCAUGCCGCGUGUGUGAAGAAGGCUUUCGGGUUGUAAAGCACUUUCAGUUGUGAGGAAAGGUUGGUAGUUAAUACCUGCCAGCUGUGACGUUAACAACAGAAGAAGCACCGGCUAACUCCGUGCCAGCAGCCGCGGUAAUACGGAGGGUGCGAGCGUUAAUCGGAAUUACUGGGCGUAAAGCGCACGUAGGCGGAUCAGAAAGUUGGGGGUGAAAUCCCGGGGCUCAACCCCGGAACUGCCUCCAAAACUCCUGGUCUUGAGUUCGAGAGAGGUGAGUGGAAUUCCGAGUGUAGAGGUGAAAUUCGUAGAUAUUCGGAGGAACACCAGUGGCGAAGGCGGCUCACUGGCUCGAUACUGACGCUGAGGUGCGAAAGUGUGGGGAGCAAACAGGAUUAGAUACCCUGGUAGUCCACGCUGUAAACGAUGUCUACUAGCCGUCGGGGUCCUUAGUGACUUUGGUGGCGCAGCUAACGCGAUAAGUAGACCGCCUGGGGAGUACGGCCGCAAGGUUAAAACUCAAAUGAAUUGACGGGGGCCCGCACAAGCGGUGGAGCAUGUGGUUUAAUUCGAUGAUACGCGAGGAACCUUACCAGGGCUUAAAUGUAGUGUGACAGGGGCAGAGACGCCUUUUUCUUCGGACACAUUACAAGGUGCUGCAUGGUUGUCGUCAGCUCGUGCCGUGAGGUGUCAGGUUAAGUCCUAUAACGAGCGCAACCCCUGUUGUUAGUUACCAGCACAUUAUGGUGGGGACUCUAACAAGACUGCCGGUGCAAACCGUGAGGAAGGUGGGGAUGACGUCAAAUCAUCACGGCCCUUACGUCCUGGGCUACACACGUGCUACAAUGGUGCGCACAGAGGGCUGCAAACCCGCGAGGGGGAGCCAAUCUCACAAAACGCAUCGUAGUCCGGAUCGCAGUCUGCAACUCGACUGCGUGAAGUCGGAAUCGCUAGUAAUCGUGAAUCAGAAUGUCACGGUGAAUACGUUCCCGGGCCUUGUACACACCGCUCGUCA
rnacentral:rRNA from 14 species